AGGCUUCGCGCUAUCGCAGGUGUCCAGGCGUGCAAGCGCCUGGGUGAAACGGGAAGCCGGUGCGUUGCCACGAGAAAUCGUGUCGACAAGGCCGGCACUGCCCCCGCAACGGUAAGCGAGUUGGGUUCGACACAUCGGCCACUGGGCGUUUGGCCCGGGAAGGCGUGUCGAAUGGCCUGCAAGGGCGCUCGCAAGUCCGGAGACCGGCCUGCGAUACGAGGCAACG
rnacentral:ncRNA from 2 species